UGUAAGCGUAUACCAAAGUUGUUGCAGUUAAAACGCUCGUAGUCGGAAUUUGGCAGUUCCGGAUGUGUGCACGUCGUGUGCGCACUUCGCGGGGAUUGCUUUUGUGGUCUUGCGUAGGAUGAGGCACUUUUAUUAGUGAACGUCCUCACGCAACCACUUUUUACUGUGAGAAAAUCAGAGUGCUCAAAGCAGGCAUUUGCCGUGAAUGUAUUAGCAUGGAAUAACACGAUAGGACUCUGGCCUAUCUUGUUGGUCUGUAGGACCGGAGUAAUGAUUAAGAGGGACAGUCGGGGGCAUUCGUAUUUCAUUGUCAGAGGUGAAAUUCUUGGAUUUAUGAAAGACGAACUACUGCGAAAGCAUUUGCCAAGGAUGUUUUCAUUAA
rnacentral:rRNA from 1 species